UAUGAUGUAGUUCAGUGGUACAAUAUGUGCUUAGCAUGCACAAGGCCUUAGGUUCAACCCCCAGCAACACAC
rnacentral:tRNA from 1 species